CCAGGUCUGUAGUGAUCACAAUCAAGAGGAACAAGUUUCCAAGUCUCGAUGGUGAGCGGGAAUCGAGAAGACAAAAAUAAUUUUUCCAUGCAGCACGUCCACCCUUUUUAAUGUGCUGAAGCGGUGAACAAUCGCCUUUAAAGAAGUGUAAUUUCGAUUACCACGUUUCACAAGGCUUUACCUCAAGUGUGUAAUAAGCAAAAUAAAUUUUGAGAGAAUUCGAGACGGAUUUUUAGCCAACAAUGAGUUUCCAAGCCCACGACUGGUUUUCUGUUGUUAGGAUCCACAAUGCUCGCCGCCAGCUUCAAAACAGACACAUAGAAGAUCAGAUGUAUGACAAGCAUUACGGCAGGUGUCCUAGGUCCUAAUUGAAAUUGUUGAAUGAAGAGUUGAGAAUGUCCAACAUGUUGUGGGAACCGGAGUCCUUUCACAAUCCUAAACAACAGGUGCUUGCUUUAAAUCUGAGAAGGCCAAGCUUGUACGUAGGAAAGCGUUGUAAUUCUGCGCCUGUCACAAUUUCCAUGUCUUUACUCUUCAAGGAACCGGGUUGAUGUUUUACACUUGUCGUAAAACCAGUACCUUGUAGUGAUCACUAAUAACAUCUCUCCUAUACCCG
rnacentral:lncRNA from 1 species